UGGGGAAUAUUGGACAAUGGGCGCAAGCCUGAUCCAGCCAUGCCGCGUGAGUGAUGAAGGCCCUAGGGUUGUAAAGCUCUUUCACCGGUGAAGAUAAUGACGGUAACCGGAGAAGAAGCCCCGGCUAACUUCGUGCCAGCAGCCGCGGUAAUACGAAGGGGGCUAGCGUUGUUCGGAUUUACUGGGCGUAAAGCGCACGUAGGCGGACUAUUAUGUCAGGGGUGAAAUCCCGGGGCUCAACCCCGGAACUGCCUUUGAUACUGGUAGUCUUGAGUUCGAGAGAGGUGAGUGGAAUUCCGAGUGUAGAGGUGAAAUUCGUAGAUAUUCGGAGGAACACCAGUGGCGAAGGCGGCUCACUGGCUCGAUACUGACGCUGAGGUGCGAAAGCGUGGGGAGCAAACAGG
rnacentral:rRNA from 1 species